GAUGAAGAACGUAGCGAAAUGCGACAAGUAAUGUGAAUUGCAGAAUUCCGUGAAUCAUCGAAUCUUUGAACGCACAUUGCGCCCCCUGGUAUUCCGGGGGGCAUGCCUGUCCGAGCGUCAUUGCUGCCCUCAAGCACGGCUUGUGUGUUGGGCCCCCGUCCCCGGUUUCCCCCGGGGACGGGCCCGAAAGGCAGCGGCGGCACCGCGUCCGGUCCUCGAGCGUAUGGGGCUUUGUCACCCGCUCUGUAGGCCCGGCCGGCGCCAGCCGACACCCAACUUUAUUUCUAAGGUUGACCUCGGAUCAGGUAGGGAUACCCGCUGAACUUAAGCAUAUCAAUAAGCGGAGGA
rnacentral:misc_RNA from 1 species